rnacentral:lncRNA from 1 species
AUAUGUAUUCAAUUCCUACCACCGUAGUGGAAGAGAGGCUAUCCCUAUCUUUACAACUGAUAGCAUUUCCAACAGUAAGCUGUGAGAUUCUGCUUGAAAUCACCUCUCAAACAAAUAAAAAACAGACCUGGGAGACACGCUACACUCAUUCUGCUGAAGAAAUAGGCAUUCAUACUUGGGGAAACAGGGAUUUCACAGACCCAGGCUUGUUCCCUACAUAAUGUUUCCUCCUCCGACAUCAGUUCAUCAGUCAAUCAAGUCAUGUGAGAGUGGAGGCCUUGUAUUCCCUAUUAUUCUUGGGCACUCUCCUCCAAGGAGGGAAAGGCCAGGAGGUCCUUUUAGAGGAUGCACUCUGAGAGCCCGGGCUCCCUAAGGUAUGAGAGUUCUAACCAGCAGGUUAGACUUUUCAGGAGUGAGGAAUGAGGCAGGCAUUCCAAACCGGUACCUUCAUUACCUUUUGUUUCAUCUCAAGACAAUUCUGAGGGGCUGUUUUGGAGCGUGUCUGGAAGGUGAACGUUGAAGAAGAGUGUGGGCUUUGAUAUGACUCAGUUGAGAUCUUUCAUGGGGAGGCAGGAAUUCAAUGCCCAGAAUCUGGGCUGGUGUCUUUGAGGUCAGUAGGUUGCAUCUUUUUAUCCAAGUCCGUUGUUACUAGGUUGGAGGCUGGAGAUUCUAAAUGGCUUCCAGACUGCCUCUCUGAUUCUCUUUGGGAGAUGUGGUCUGAAAGACAAUGUCAGUAUUUUUGGGAAAUUCUAGAAAGUCUGCUUGGAAACGUGGGAAGAGCUCUUGCCUAGUGCCUAAAUGCUCCAUUUGCAGCUCUAGCCAAGUAGAUACUUGGUAGGUAUAGAGCCGGGUUUGCAUUUAUAUCAGCAAAACCUAUGUCAGAGUUGAAGAAGUAGUCAGGAAAAAGUGUAUUGGUCACAGGCCGGGAACAUCUUAA